rnacentral:lncRNA from 1 species
ACAGUGGAGGAACUGGAAUGCCAAUUUUCUCUAAUCUGUCCACAGUUGGAAGCCUUCUCUGUGCAGCCAACCAUGCAGUAAAUUUGUGUCGAGGUUGGACAUUUGAAAUCAAGAGCAGAUUCUUCCAAGCAACUCUAUCAAAGUUAGGAAGCAGUGCGAGAUACAGCUUCUGGAUUUGGAACUUGUCCAAAUAGCACACUGCCUUAAGUCUGUCAUUUAGUGUGCUUUGUAGCUGUUCAUUCUCCAGGAGAUCAGUUCUGCAGUCCAUGAUCUUUCUAAUAACCCAGGCAGCGUAGGAAGCACUGCAAGAUACAGCUUCUGGAUUUGGAAUCUGUCCAAAUAGCACACUGCCUUUAGUCUGUCAUUUUGUGUGCCUUGUAGCUGUUGAUUCUCCGGAAGAUCAGUCCUGCAGUCCAUGAUCUUUCUAAUAACCCAGGCAGCUUGCUGGGGUGUGGACACAGUGGCUAUGUCAUUCCUUUUUAUGUAGUAGCAAUGAAUCCAUUUAACCCACAUACACUCUUUUUUCCUGGCUAAGUCCCAAAGCAGUUUAGUGAUGGCUGCCUUGUUCCAUAUAGUCAUGUUCAAUAUGUUUAGACCACCUGCAUUG